rnacentral:rRNA from 1 species
CCUACGGGAGGCAGCAGUGGGGAAUUUUGGACAAUGGGCGCAAGCCUGAUCCAGCCAUGCCGCGUGCAGGAUGAAGGCCUUCGGGUUGUAAACUGCUUUUGUACGGAACGAAAAGGUUUGGCCUAAUAAGCUGAGCUCAUGACGGUACCGUAAGAAUAAGCACCGGCUAACUACGUGCCAGCAGCCGCGGUAAUACGUAGGGUGCGAGCGUUAAUCGGAAUUACUGGGCGUAAAGCGUGCGCAGGCGGUUAUGUAAGACAGAUGUGAAAUCCCCGGGCUCAACCUGGGAACUGCAUUAGUGACUGCAUAGCUGGAGUACGGCAGAGGGGGGAUGGAAUUCCGCGUGUAGCAGUGAAAUGCGUAGAUAUGCGGAGGAACACCGAUGGCGAAGGCAAUCCCCUGGGCCUGUACUGACGCUCAUGCACGAAAGCGUGGGGAGCAAACAGGAUUAGAUACCCUGGUAGUCCACGCCCUAAACGAUGUCAACUGGUUGUUGGGUCUUCACUGACUCAGUACGAAGCUAACGCGUGAAGUUGAACCGCCUGGGGGUUGGUUACGGUCCGCGAGGUUAGAACGUUACGAUAGAGUUAGACGGCGUUGAGACGNGCCGACGGACGACGACGAGGGGAGGUUAGG